rnacentral:rRNA from 1 species
UACGUAGGGGGCAAGCGUUGUCCGGAUUUAUUGGGCGUAAAGAGCGUGUAGGCGGCCAUACAGGUCAGCUGUGAAAACUCGAGGCUCAACCUCGAGACGUCGGUUGAAACCGUAUGGCUAGAGUCCGGAAGAGGAGAGUGGAAUUCCCGGUGUAGCGGUGAAAUGCGCAGAUAUCGGGAAGAACACCCGUGGCGAAGGCGGCUCUCUGGGACGGGACCGACGCUGAGACGCGAAAGCGUGGGGAGCGAACAGG